CGGACGGGUGAGUAACGCGUGGGUAACCUGCCUCAUACGGGGGGAUAACAGUUAGAAAUGACUGCUAAUACCGCAUAAGCGCACAGAAUCGCAUGAUUCGGUGUGAAAAACUCCGGUGGUAUGAGAUGGACCCGCGCCUGAUUAGCUAGUUGGUGGGGUAAAGGCCUACCAAGGCGACGAUCAGUAGCCGACCUGAGAGGGUGAUCGGCCACAUUGGGACUGAGACACGGCCCAAACUCCUACGGAAGGCAGCAG
rnacentral:rRNA from 1 species